rnacentral:rRNA from 1 species
UGGGGAAUUUUUCACAAUGGGGGAAACCCUGAUGCAGCGACGCCGCGUGAUUUAGAAGGCCUUCGGGUUGUAAAAAUCUUUUGUAUGGGAAGAAAAUGACAGUACCAUACGAAUAAGGACCGGCUAAUAACGUGCCAGCAGCCGCGGUAAUACGUAAGGUCCGAGCGUUGUCCGGAAUCAUUGGGCGUAAAGGGUACGUAGGCGGAUAAGCAAGUUAGAAGUGAAAUCCUAUAGCUCAACUAUAGUAAGCUUUUAAAACUGCUCAUCUUGAGGUAUGGAAGGGAAAGUGAAAUUCCUAGUGUAGCGGUGAAAUGCGCAGAUAUUAGGAGGAAUACCGGUGGCGAAGGCGACUUUCUGGCCAUAUACUGACGCUGAGGUACGAAAGCGUGGGUAGCAAACAGG